UACGUAGGGGGCGAGCGUUGUCCGGAAUCAUUGGGCGUAAAGCGCGUGUAGGCGGCUUGGUAAGUCCGGUGUGAAACCUUGGGGCUCAACCCCAAGCCUGCACUGGAUACUGCCUCGCUUGAGUCCGGGAGGGGAGAGCGGAAUUCCUAGUGUAGCGGUGAAAUGCGCAGAUAUUAGGAAGAACACCGGUGGCGAAGGCGGCUCUCUGGAACGCAACUGACGCUGAGACGCGAAAGCGUGGGGAGCAAACAGG
rnacentral:rRNA from 1 species